rnacentral:rRNA from 1 species
AUUGAACGCUGGCGGCAGGCCUAACACAUGCAAGUCGAGCGGAUGAAGAGAGCUUGCUCUCUGAUUUAGCGGCGGACGGGUGAGUAAUGCCUAGGAAUCUCCUGGUAGUGGGGGAUAACGUUCCGAAAGGAACGCUAAUACCGCAUACGUCCUACGGGAGAAAGCAGGGGACCUUCGGGCCUUGCGCUAUCAGAUGAGCCUAGGUCGGAUUAGCUAGUUGGUGGGGUAAAGCUCACCAGGCGACGACCCUAACUGGUCUGAGGGUGAUCAGUCACACUGGAACUGGACACGGCCAGACUCCUACGGGAGGCACAGUGGGGAAUAUGACAAUGGGCGAAAGCCUGAUCCACGCCAUGCCGCGUGU